ensembl:ncRNA C46A5.13 ncRNA
GGUUUGAACUGAAAUAUUAUACUUGUUGCUUUUAGCUGUCAUAUUGUUGCUUACAAUUGUUUGGAGAGCCAGGAAAGAACUGAAAUCGUCGAGUUUGCAGAAUGUUCUCCAUUGCAAAUAGCUCGGUAAUCCAUGAUCUCUUCCCAUU